UACGUAGGGCGCAAGCGUUGUUCGGAUUCAUUGGGCGUAAAGGGUGCGUAGGCGGCGCGGUAAGUCGGGUGUGAAAUCUCGGAGCUUAACUCCGAAACUGCAUUCGAUACUGCCGUGCUUGAGGACUGGAGAGGAGACUGGAAUUUACGGUGUAGCGGUGAAAUGCGUAGAUAUCGUAAGGAAGACCAGUGGCGAAGGCGGGUCUCUGGACAGUUCCUGACGCUGAGGCACGAAGGUCAGGGGAGCAAACGGG
rnacentral:rRNA from 1 species